rnacentral:rRNA from 1 species
CGUAGGGGCAAGCGUUGUCCGGAAUUAUUGGGCGUAAAGCGCGUGUAGGCGGUCCGGUAAGUCGGUUGUGAAAGUCCAGGGCUCAACCCUGGGAUGCCGAUCGAUACUGCCGGACUAGAGUCCGGAAGAGGCGAGUGGAAUUCCCGGUGUAGCGGUGAAAUGCGCAGAUAUCGGGAGGAACACCAAUGGCGAAGGCAGCUCGCUGGGACGGUACUGACGCUGAGACGCGAAAGCGUGGGGAGCAAACAGGAUUAGAUACCCUGGUAGUCCACGCCGUAAACGAUGGGCACUAGGUGUGGGAGGUGUCGACUCCUCCCGUGCCGCAGCUAACGCAUUAAGUGCCCCGCCUGGGGAGUACGGCCGCAAGGCUA